rnacentral:rRNA from 1 species
GAUCCUAGCUCAGGACGAACGCUGGCGGCGUGCUUAACACAUGCAAGUCGAACGAGAAUCUAUGGAAAGAGGAUUCGUCCAAUUGAAAUAGAGGACAGUGGCGGACGGGUGAGUAACGCGUGAGGAACCUGCCUUUCAGAGGGGGGACAACAGUUGGAAACGACUGCUAAUACCGCAUAACGCGUAGAGGUCGCAUGGCCUUUACGCCAAAGAUUUAUCGCUGAAAGAUGGCCUCGCGU